rnacentral:rRNA from 1 species
GGUAUGGCGCACUUGGCCCGCCUCGUUACGGGGUUGUGUGCCUCGGUGCGCCUGCCAUCCUUCUGGGGAACUAUCAUUAUGCGCUUCCUUCACUGUGAAGACUUUUGGUAGGGAACCUGAUCAUUUACUUUGAAAAAAUUAGAGUGUUUAAAGCAGGCUUGUGCUAUGAAUACAUUAGCAUGGAAUAAUAAUUUAGGACUUUGGUCUUAUUUUGUUGGUUUCUAGGACUAAAGUA